UACUCCGCCGGCGACCGGCGCACGGGUGCGUAACGCGUAUGCAACCUACCUUUAACAGGGGCAUAACACUGAGAAAUUGGUACUAAUUCCCCAUAACAUUCGAGAAGGCAUCUUCUUGGGUUAAAAACUCCGGUGGUUAAAGAUGGGCAUGCGUUGUAUUAGCUAGUUGGUGAGGUAACGGCUCACCGAGGCAACGAUACAUAGGGGGACUGAGAGGUUAACCCCCCACAUUGGUACUGAGACACGGACCAA
rnacentral:rRNA from 1 species